rnacentral:rRNA from 1 species
GACGAACGCUGGCGGCGUGCCUAAUACAUGCAAGUUGAGCGAUGAAGAUUGGUGCUUGCACCAAUUUGAAGAGCAGCGAACGGGUGAGUAACGCGUGGGGAAUCUGCCUUUGAGCGGGGGACAACAUUUGGAAACGAAUGCUAAUACCGCAUAACAACUUUAAACAUAAGUUUUAAGUUUGAAAGAUGCAAUUGCAUCACUCAAAGAUGAUCCCGCGUUGUAUUAGCUAGUUGGUGAGGUAAAGGCUCACCAAGGCGAUGAUACAUAGCCGACCUGAGAGGGUGGUCGGCCACAUUGGGACUGAGACACGGCCCAAACUCCUACGGGAGGCAGCAGUAGGGAAUCUUCGGCAAUGGACGAAAGUCUGACCGAGCAACGCCGCGUGAGUGAAGAAGGUUUUCGGAUCGUAAAACUCUGUUGGUAGAGAAGAACGUUGGUGAGAGUGGAAAGCUCAUCAAGUGACGGUAACUACCCAGAAAGGGACGGCUAACUACGUG